CGCCCGUAUUUUGUAGUAACACCCUUUCAAAAUGACUUCCAAAACAGACACAAUUUGCAAAAUAUUUUCAUUUCAAGACUACAAAUCAUCUCCCGAGAUGAUUGUUUAAAUUGCUGCCGAAUGCUUACAACCAACACCGGUCCCGAUGGUAAUAGAUAUUACGGCUAUUUUCAAAGGAGGGCCGGUUGAGCAUGCAAAUGGGACUAACUACAGUCGGCGCUCCACGGCUUCUGUUCAAAUCCUUGGCGGCGAGGAACAGAGGGACAGCGCGCAGUGAAUCCCAAAUCCGCAAUGACAUCUCCAACCUCGAGCCCUUGCGAUGGCUCAUAAAAAGCUGGUUCGACCGAAAUGUGGUUGUAAACUUCGAGAUACAGGAGCUGAUGUUUCAUACAACCACCUCGGAGAUGGCGCUGAUGUGAGGUGUUUAAGUUGUGUUCCACAUUUACUUUGUUGCUUGUCCUGUUGACUGUUGUACCUUCUCACUCUUGAAUACAAUUUAGCUAACUAGAUAGCUGCUCGUUCAGGCACAUCUGAUGUGGUUUCUCUGUUUCCCUGUUUUAGGGCAGUGAAGAACAUCCGAUAGUUCUCACAGAGGCGCCCUGCAACCCGCUGCACAGUAGCCAGAUGAUGUCAGUGCUGCUCUUUGAGUGCUACAGAGUCCCAAAUGCAGUGGCUGGAUGCAUGUGAACGUGGGCAGGAGCCAGGCGGUGUCCUACCUCCAGCGUCUGCUCCAGCUGAAGUACACUGGUCACCUGGCGGCCGUCACCCUCUGCCUCAUAGAGAGCUGCUCCAAAAACACAGCUACACAGCCAAUGACUACCACCAAGAGCUGGAGAAGUGGCACAGUGCAGAGUUCUAUGAGCAGAAGGUGCACCGCAUGUAGCUGCCCUUCUCUGCCAAGGUUCUGGGCGGCGUGGUGAUUGUGGAGGAGAUGCAGGAGAGACGCGCCCAGCAGCUGUGCAGGCUACAGGAGAUAAACGCCUGGCGCAGGGAGGAGAUGCUGCAGUAGGACCAAGAGCGUCUGGAUAAACUAUUGGCCCUGCAGGCAACAACCAUUAUCUUUUAACCACUUCGUCAACCAUGACCCUUAACUGCUGUGCAAUUCCAAGGUCUUGGAAUUACGCAGAGAGUCCAAUUUCUCACUUAAAAUGUACUCCAAACAAAAAACAUUGAAUCCAAAGUUUACUAAACCGUACAACCGUAUGCACAAGGACUAUGUUUAACAAUUUACACUGAACAUUGUACAAAAACACAGAAUUUCGUUAAAAUAUCCCUCAGUUUUUUUUAUGUGUCCGCGUUUUCCAAAAGCUCUUAUAUAUCCGCUCCAAAUUAGGAUUCAAUACUUCCUGAGGAAAGAAUGAGGUGUCAGCUAUGGCAUGACACAAUGACUUUGAAAUAAUAUCUGUUGGUAAGUGAGGUGGACUUACACCUGGUAAUGGAAUUGCAGUAUCACGGGUCCCUGAUCUGUACUCCACAUAAAUUGAUAUGAAUGUCACUCUCUUCAUAGUGAUGUAUCCUGAAUAAGUACACAAAGGUAUAAAUAUGCAAUAUCCUAUUUUGCAUAUUUGGGUAUUAUUGUACACAAUUACUAUUAUUUUAAACAAACAAAACCAAAUUUGGUUGGUCAGGACCAAACAAAAUCUGUACUAAUAGCAGUCUGUUUCACAAUUUUGAACAUUAAAGUACAGCACAAUAGAGCUCAGUAGAGUAGAGUUCAGAACAUUAUACAACGGGUGGGUCUAAUCCUGAAUGCUGAUUAGUUAAAGGCGCAUUUCAGCCGGUGUCUAUUCCACAAAUUACUACCGGCUAAAUCUAUGACGUCAAAAUGCCUAUUCAUUCUGUUCCAUCUGGCUGCGCAAUCCACUGUCUCCGUAACCCAGACAGGGAAGUUAUAAACUUGAUCUGCACUAUAAAAAUAAUCGAGACAUUAUCUCAUAUUUUUGUAUAAGAUUUGUAUAAACCCGUCUGUCUCUCCGACAUUUGUAACAUUGUUUCAAUUUUCAAAUUCGAUUUCCAACUGUCCCAUAGUAAUGAACGUGUAAUGGUCGAGAAUCAGGACGAGAGAGAGGCAAGCAGCGUUACUCAGCCAUUAGAAAUCAUGAAUCAGCUGGAUAUAUACAAAGAAAUCUCAAUUGGAAAAAGGUGAAACGAAGUGCAGCUAGUUUGCAGUCUUUCCAGCUUCAGUUUGAAGUUAAUGUUAACGGUGAUUGUUGGAUAGCUCCUCUGAACAAGUGUCCUAAUGAGGGAGGACAUUUUCUAUGUCAGGUGAAAUCGUGUCUCAUUAGCUCAUUGUUAUGGAUGUAUCCAAAUAAAUGUCACUAGAAAACA